UACGAAGGGGGCGAGCGUUGUUCGGAUUUACUGGGCGUAAAGGGCGCGCAGGCGGCGCAUUUUGUCAGGCGUGAAAGCCCCGGGCUUAACCUGGGAAUGGCAUUUGGGACUGCAAGGCUUGAGUGCGGCAGAGGAGACUGGAAUUCCUGGUGUAGCAGUGAAAUGCGUAGAUAUCAGGAGGAAUACCGAUGGCGAAGGCAGGUCUCUGGGCUGACACUGACGCUCAUGCACGAAAGCGUGGGGAGCAAACAGG
rnacentral:rRNA from 1 species